GGCAGCAAUUGAUUUUCCAAGGUUCAAUCAAUCAUCAAAUUUUAAUUGAAAACCUAACGAUGAAAUGCAGUAAAAGUAAAAGUAUCAGCCAAAAAAAAAGGCCAUAAUCCUAUAGCCAACGGGUAUGCAAUGUUUACAAUUGAAGUCCAAUGAAUUAUUUGAAGUUACAAUUGAAUUAAAUCAAUUCUGAAGGAGGGGAUAUUGCUACCCAACCUUCUUGUGAACACUUCUUAUAGCAGAUCAGCUUGUAGAUUCAACUGUGUAUCAUGUCCAUUACCACCAUCCAAAUCCACCAAUGAUCAUUCCUCCAUUUUAAUCGGUAUUCAUUUUUCAUAUUUUCAAGUUAUUUGCAGAUGGACCUCUAAGCUCAGAAAAACAUAACACUACUAUAUAGGACUAGUUCACAGCUUACCAUUUGUCAACUUCUUCCAAAAUGCUUCUCCAGUUUCCGCUCCACAGGCAACUCAUUGGCACAUUAAGCAGUAACUAAUGGCAUUGCAAUGUGCUGCUUUAUAGAGACAUGAGUUUCUCGUUUUAGCUCAUUAGCCAAAUCAACAUUUAUCUCCGAGUAGAGUUUCCAGCAGAUGGUGAUUCGCCUAUCCCAGAUGGUGAGGUUUGUGCCCUUGGGGGACAUCAGGGAUUUCAAAAUCACUCCAUUCAACAUUCGAGUCUGUUCUCCAGAUAUCUGUAAUGCUAACAUCAGCAUCCGAAAGAAGCCAAUAAUCUGCAUCAUUAUCAACAUCUGAGGGAACAAUCUUCAUCAUUCCCCCAGUCAGCUCUUGUGAAGCAUCAAGAUCAAGGAAAGAAUUGUUAACUUGUUGCACCUGAAGUUCAUCUCUCUUCUGGAUUCUCUGCUCAUUGAUUAUCUCUUUUGCUGGGAUUUCAUUAGAUCCAGAACUAGAAGCAUGUGGGAUCCUGGUAGAUGGCUCACCAUUCAUCUCCUCAAAGCUUUCCUCAAAUUGACUUACAAGAUAAACGUCAAUAGGACCCAUUGUGCUUCUGAGGAUUAUCCUGUAUCUCCUCUGUGGAUAUUCAACAGCCUCAGCAGGAUCAGGGACUUCCAGGGUAGUUCCGUGGGGAGCUUUAAUUGCUAUGAGGGUUUCAUUCAGGAAACAAGGUAAGCUCUUAAUGUCUUCUUCAGUUACAAAAAGCCACUUUUGAUUGUUCUCUUCUUCACUCAAUUCUCUCAAUCUUUCCUGCAUUUCUCUUAUUUGAUCAUCUAGUCCAUGCUCUUCCAUGGAAAGCUUUUCAAUUUCUGCCUGUAAUGAACAAGCAUCACCAUCUGCCUCCCCUGGCCUUGAAGCAUCAACACCCUUCCAACGUAUCCUGUUCUUGAGCUUCUUCUCAAUGAGACCAAUUCCUUCCAAGACAUUUGUUAUGUCAUAUAUCCGUCUCUUUUGCACCUCCAAAGUUUCUGCAGCCUUGUUUAGGUCAAGAAUACCAUCUUCAGCCUGCUUAAUUAGAUUGACAAAUUUCUUUGUCAGAAGACCUAGGGAACUGUCAUAACGGCAGCUACCAGCUGGUGUAAGAGGAGAGGGAGAAUCAAUGUUUGACACUGGGGUCUGAGGUCCUGACCUAGUGCCCUUUGAGGCUUUUGAUCUGUUGUAUUUCCUUCCCCCUUUUGCAGACACAGGUGUUCGGAAGGGACUAUUAGAUACAUCACCAAAUCCAGAACUGCUAGCCCACUCACUAGAGUCACCUCCAUUUUCAUCAGAGCCACUCUUUCGUUUUAAGAGGGGAGACCUCACGAGAAUGCCCUCAGCUUCCCGAUCAGCGGCGGCUCUAUUAGUAGUAGGGGACGUGAAACGAUGAUAAUCAUCGGGAGGGACAAACGGAGGCUUCAUUGUGGCAAAGGCGAGGUGCCGUCUCAGUGGGGGCAGGAUCGGACCACCCGGAGGCGCCGCCGCCGCCGCAGCCGCAGUCGGCGGGUGAGUGGAGGCUCGAGCACUACCAGACAUGGUUAGUGAGCCCAAGACAAUCGGGUACGGAGAUAAUGGAGAUCUGAGAGAGAAAGUGGUGUGGGGUUUAGGGUGGGAGUGGAGGGUUUUUGAGGGAAAGUGGGCGCCGAGAGAUGAGAGAGCAGAAAACGAGGGAAAGAGGAAAUUUUUAGUUUGUGAUCGAU
rnacentral:misc_RNA from 1 species